rnacentral:rRNA from 1 species
GACGAACGCUGGCGGCGUGCUUAACACAUGCAAGUCGAACGGAAAGGCCCUGCUUUUGUGGGGUGCUCGAGUGGCGAACGGGUGAGUAACACGUGAGUAACCUGCCCUUGUCUUUGGGAUAACUUCAGGAAACUGGGGCUACUACCGGAUAGGAGCUCCUGCUGCAUGGUGGGGGUGGGAACGUUUCGGCUGUAGGGGAUGGACUCGCGGCUUAUGAGCUUGCUGGUUGGGUAGUGGCUUACCAAGGCUUUGACGGGUAGCCGGCCUGAGAGCGUGACCGGGCUCAUGGGGCCUGAGGUACGGCCCAGACGCGAACGGGAGGCAGUAGGGGGGAGUCUGGCACAACGAGCCGACGUCGGAUGCAGAGGCGCCGGGGGCGGGAUGACGGCCUUCGGGUAGUAAACCGCUUUCGCUUGUGACGAAGCGUGAGUGACGGUAAUGAAUAAAGAAGCACCGGCUAACUACGUG